rnacentral:lncRNA from 1 species
AUGCCGAGAUUACAGGCAACAGCACCGGCAGGCCUCGGUCUACCUGGUAGGAAGCGCUGCGGGGAGUCUCAGCAGAGCGAUGGUCAUCCUUCACCUCCCAAAGCCUUAAGGCGCUCCGGGCACUGCAGCAGUUUAUGCAGCAGUUUCACUCCCAAAUCGCCAGGUUUUCCAGGGCGCGAGGGGGACCCUGGGGAGCAGGCUGGCUGGGAGCACUACUACCAGGAGGGCGAGGGUGAUGGUGAGGGGUGCAGCCUCUCCUCUCCGGGGGACUCCAUAGCCUCCCUACUUCCGGGAGGGCUGCCCACGGCUGAAGGACUACAAGGGACGAGGACGAAGACGAGGACAGGGACGGCGCCCGGCGGCUACCGGGGCCCACGUACCAGAUCUCAGCCACACUUCCCGGCUGCAGCUAGGCCUCCAGCGCACUUCCGGCAUAGAAGUUGCUAAGAAGCCAAACUGGAAUCCGGUUUUAUGGCUUCUCGCGGAGCCCUGUUUUCACCCCAAAUUGCUGAACUUCCUUCAGGAGAGCUGCAUCACCCGACCUCUAUGGAAGAGACAUAGGCUUUGGAAGACCCCAGAUUCCCGAGUACCAACCGUGGACUCUGCAUAAGGGUUCUCAGUCUAUUUGGAGGACAGGAUGCCUGUUUAGGGUUUUGUAUAGAGCCUGUGUUUCCAAGACUCUUAAGUUGUACUUGUGCAGUACAGCGGCUGAAAGAGAGGUGAGGCCGCUGUGAACCGUGAGAGGGGCUAAAUGUCAAGUCAUCCUUGCUUCCCUUGGUGCCACCCGGUAGUUUUGAGCGCAGCCUGUCAGUGCAGCGGAUGCAGAGGCCGGUCUAGGGUAGGCAGACUGCGUGAGCAUCCCUUGGGGAAAGGUGGAGGCCACAAAUCCACACCUCCACAAAAUGGUACUAUCAAAGCAUCACUGCCAGCCAACUUUCUCAGAAAAAUUUCCUGCUCCCCAUCCAGUAGAGUACGUGCACUAUUGGAGGCCUGGGCUUUGCAGCCGCUUUUUUUUGUUUGUUUAAUUAGUAUUGUUUGCUGUACAUAAUUAUACAUUCAUCGUGAGUAGUUGGUACAGUUUCAUAACACAUUUUAAUUCUUUUUUCAUCCUUUCCCCCUCCUCUUCCAC